CGGAGGAAAAGAAACCAACCGGGAUUGCCUUAGUAACGGCGAGUGAAGCGGCAAAAGCUCAAAUUUGAAAUCUGGUACCUUUGGUGCCCGAGUUGUAAUUUGGAGAGGGCAACUUUGGGGCCGUUCCUUGUCUAUGUUCCUUGGAACAGGACGUCAUAGAGGGUGAGAAUCCCGUGUGGCGAGGAGUGCGGUUCUAUGUAAAGUGCCUUCGAAGAGUCGAGUUGUUUGGGAAUGCAGCUCUAAGUGGGUGGUAAAUUCCAUCUAAAGCUAAAUAUUGGCGAGAGACCGAUAGCGAACAAGUACAGUGAUGGAAAGAUGAAAAGAACUUUGAAAAGAGAGUGAAAAAGUACGUGAAAUUGUUGAAAGGGAAGGGCAUUUGAUCAGACAUGGUGUUUUGUGCCCUCUGCUCCUUGUGGGUAGGGGAAUCUCGCAUUUCACUGGGCCAGCAUCAGUUUUGGUGGCAGGAUAAAUCCGUAGGAAUGUAACUUGCUUCGGGAAGUAUUAUAGCCUGCGGGAAUACUGCCAGCUGGGACUGAGGACUGCGACGUAAGUCAAGGAUGCUGGCAUAAUGGUUAUAUGCCGCCCGUCUU
rnacentral:rRNA from 1 species